rnacentral:misc_RNA from 1 species
AAAGUCGUAACAAGGUAACCGUAGGUGAACCUGCGGUUGGAUCAUUAAAAAAUUGAAUUCUUGGAAUUCGCACUGGGUUGAUUCACGUCAACUCAGUAAACCUUUUGUGAAAUGUUAAUGUCCCUAGUCAGGUGUAAAAGCUUGUCUAGGUUAUAUACUCUUUUAUAAUGACUGAAUCAAGUAAUCUAAUUAAAAAACAACUUUUAACAACGGAUCUCUUGGCUCUC